GAUGAACGCUGGCGGCGUGCCUAAUACAUGCAAGUCGAGCGAACAGACGAGGAGCUUGCUCCUCUGACGUUAGCGGCGGACGGGUGAGUAACACGUGGAUAACCUACCUAUAAGACUGGGAUAACUUCGGGAAACCGGAGCUAAUACCGGAUAAUAUAUUGAACCGCAUGGUUCAAUAGUGAAAGACGGUUUUGCUGUCACUUAUAGAUGGAUCCGCGCCGCAUUAGCUAGUUGGUAAGGUAACGGCUUACCAAGGCAACGAUGCGUAGCCGACCUGAGAGGGGGAUCGGCCCAACUGGAACUGAGACACGGUCCAGACUCCUACGGGAGGCAGCAGUAGGGAAUCUUCCGCAAUGGGCGAAAGCCUGACGGAGCAACGCCGCGUGAGUGAUGAAGGUCUUCGGAUCGUAAAACUCUGUUAUUAGGGAAGAAUAAGUGUGUAAGUAACUAUGCACGUCUUGACGGUACCUAAUCAGAAAGCCACGGCUAACUACGUGCCAGCCGCCGCCGUAA
rnacentral:rRNA from 1 species